AUUGAACGCUGGCGGCAUGCCUUACACAUGCAAGUCGAACGGCAGCACGGGGCAACCUGGUGGCGAGUGGCGAACGGGUGAGUAAUGCAUCGGAACGUACCUUUCAGUGGGGGAUAACGUAGCGAAAGUUACGCUAAUACCGCAUAUUCUGUGAGCAGGAAAGCAGGGGAUCGCAAGACCUUGCGCUGAUUGGGCGGCCGAUGUCAGAUUAGCUAGUUGGGGAGGUAAAGGCUCACCAAGGCGACGAUCUGUAGCGGGUUUGAGAGGAUGAUCCGCCACACUGGAACUGAGACACGGUCCAGACUCCUACGGGAGGCAGCAGUGGGGAAUUUUGGACAAUGGGGGCAACCCUGAUCCAGCCAUGCCGCGUGAGUGAAGAGGGCCUUCGGGUUGUAAAGCUCUUUCGGCCGGGAAGAAAUCGCACGGGCUAAUACCCUGUGUGGAUGACGGUACCGGAAUAAGAAGCACCGGCUAACUACGUGCCAGCCGCCGCGGUAACAC
rnacentral:rRNA from 1 species